GAGGGGUGGGAUGUGUUUUCAUAGGAUUUUGAUGUCUGGAUGCUGCUUGAGAUGAAACAGAAAUAAAAAAAGCUCCUCUGUAGAUGGCCUAAAACAAAGGAGCUGGCACUCCAGGAAACCUGGGCUGUUGGGGAGUUCCUGGUGACCCUUCUCACCUUCAGCAGAUGCAGGAACAGGCAAGACUCUGCUCUCCUGCAGAGUCCCAGUGUUCUGUAGGGCAAGAGAUGAAGCAAUGGAACAGAAAUGCUUCAUAAGAGAGAAGGUAUUGCAUGUGGAUGUGAGGCAUUAAAACCCAUUCAAGUUUGAGAGAGACUUUGCUACUUGUGCAGUCACAGCCUUAAAAGGGAGGCAGGAACUGGAAGAAGAAGAAGAAGAAAAAAUAAGAUCUGGAGAAAGCCAGGGGAUACAACUGAAAAAGUGUACAGUGAACUACCAAAAAAUGGAAAAGAAGAAAUAUUAGUCACACACAGCUUACUUCUAAAUUUUAGUGUCCUAGUGAAACAGUCCUCUAAACUUCAGUAGCUCCAUCACUCAACAAAGAGCAAUGGAAAGCAGGAGGUGUCUCUGCUGUUUCCCAGAGGGAGGUCUUGUCUGGCUGUGCUUAGGUGCAGUCAUUGGGUAGACAGGAGCUCACCAAGAGCAAGAUUACAAUAGGAAAGUGGGAAAAGGCAGAACAGAAAACAAAAGCAGAAGUGAAAUAAGCCUGCUAAGGAACAUAACAGGAGACAGGACAGAGCAAUGAGAUAAUGAAACAGAGAAUUGAACAGAGAAUGAGAUAAUGAAAUAUGAAUGAUACAAGAUGUGCAGGAGAAAGGAAAUCUUCAGGGAGAAGACUGACCAUGGAAAAGUCAGCUGCUGAAGAAAAAAGAGCAUAAUCCCAACUAAGCAGCUUGAAGAAAAUGGAGUAAACAGGUGGAAACCUUCUGGUUUAAACUUUGUUUUUUAAUGGUUUUUAAUACCAUUUUAAAAUGGUAUUUUAAACAUGACCACCUGGAGAGCAACAUCUUUUGCUCAUUUCUAUUUUAGUGCAAGAGAAUGAAAGGUUCUACUUACUCCUGACCUUCUGUUUGUCUUGGAAGUAAAUUCCCCAUAUAUUCUGUUUGCUUGAUGCAUUUGUAAAUGACUACCGUGAUCUUUUCAGCCUAAUCUUUGAAAGAGAGAAUUGAUGUGAACGUAUUCUCUCUGGAUCUGUGCCUCUGAGACGUGGAGGGAAAAAUAAAGCUUUGGUGACUAAGUAAGAGUCAUUUAAUUGAACGUGGUAAACCAAACCACAGCUCAACACUGGGGCAGUUGUCUUUUUUUCUCAAAUUUCAGUUUUAGUUUAAAAUUGUGAUCCCCUUCUCUAAUUUGCUUCCACUUUACUCCACUGAAAUUAAUAGCUUAGAAAUUCCUCAAGAGCCUUCUUGAAUUAUGUCUCUGUCCAUAUUCUGCCCUCAAGAAGGCUAAAGUGUUUGGUGUCUUCCUCUCAUUUGACCUGGACUGAAACCUCUGAAUGUGGGACGGGAUCUUUCCUCUAGCAGUUAAAUAGGAUCUCUGCUGGCUGCUGCCUCUACAAUCAGGGAAGAGAAGUGGCAGACAAUUCACUUUUAAGAGCACCUAUUUCUUUAUCGUAGAUGGAAGGCAUCUGAGGUCAAGAUCAGGUGUCCAGGUUUCAGGCAGGAUGAAUCUCACUCUGUGUUCCUGCCCCCAGAUACACUGAGUAGGCAAUCUCAGAGCAGAUCCAGUGCAUCCUGGCAGAACCAGGGAUGUCUAGGAACAGGAACAAGAACAAGAAGUAUAUCGCUGUCUGAGAGGGACGGGGCUGCCCAGAGAGGUUUGGAGCUACUUUAACCUGGGUUGCGUGAAGCCCAAGGAACCUCAUCUUGAUCAGAAGUUCACCCUGCUUUGAAAAGAGGGUUGGAGCAGCUGACAUCCAGGGGUCCCUUCCGGUCUGAAGUGCCCUCUGAGACUAUGAAGCCCACAUGUCCCUAGGGAGUACCCUGACUGGCAAGCUUUGUUGGAGAGGAGCGGAGCUGCAGAGCUUGCAGCUGAAGACACCAAACUGAAAUUGAAGUUGUGCGUGUCAGGGACAGCAUGGCUUGGGGGCCACUCAUUAGGAAGAGAAAUCCUAGAUUCUAGCUUGCCACACAACUCCUUUUGUACCUUAUCUUCAAUUAGUCAUUAAGUCUACAGCAAAGAAGGGAAACAGUCAAAAUUUAGCCCAGGUUUCUUGACGUUUGUGUGACAUCUGGCUGUGGAGAUCUGUUACAGGAGAUUUGUCCUGCCUAGUCUUUAGUCUAGGUAAGAUACUCUUGUCAAGGUUCUAAGCCCUCUAGCAUUAAAAAAAAAAAAAAAAAAAAAGAAAUGGGGGGGGGGGAUGAUGAGGAGUUAUCUGCAUCUACCACAUAAAAGAACUCUAGCAGUGCGCCCUUCUCAGCCUCUUAGUCUUUUGAAGUAAAGGGUGACAACAUUUAUCCUUCAGGACAGUCUUAUGGGCUGCAUAUCUGGAAUAGGUAGUAAUAUCUCAAUGCACAGCUGAAUAAGGUACCUGAGUGAUGAGGCUGAAUAUUUCAUUUGUGCAAGUUUUAGCUUCUGGCUCAUACAAACUGGCCUUUUUGGAUCCCUUUGGAAGGUACCUACUUUUGCUCAUGACAAAAAUUUACCCAGUUCUGGAUUUUACUCUGGAGGACCAGGGGCCUCAAAACUGACCAUGAAGCACCAAGGUUUUUGGUCAGACCCGAGCUUGAGAGCAUGGCUUCAUGUUCUCCAUCCAAAAACAGAGACCUACCUAAGAGGUUUCUGUUAAUCUUCUCCUCAUGGAAGGUGCUCCAGUGUCAAUUGCACCAGUCCUGCUCCUUUUCUUUUUUCAUGAGUGACCUUUCAAUACUACUGCAGUACAAUCUAUAGCAUGUCUAACCAUAGCUAACAUUUGAAUCAUAUGCUGCAGCAUUGGAAAGUUGUGAGAAAAAGGAAAAUAAAAUAAUAAUACGCAGUAAUAUCAAUUUUUUUGAGUACAAGCAGAUCCUUCCUUCCUGUACACCAAGGGCAAAAUUCAAAUUUCUUCAGAAAGAAACAUUGAUGAUUAAAGGCUUGUUGGCAGUAGAGCCACAGAGGCUAAUUACGAAUUCUCUAUGUUGUACUCCUCACUGCUCAUUCAGAUAGCUGGCUGGCAUCAUGGAAAGACUGUAACAUCCUAGAUCAAGAAGCAAGGAAGGAGAAGAUUCAAGGCUUGAAUAUAACACAUCUUAUCAAUUUAUAAAUGGCAAGUCUUGCCAUGGAAGUAGACAGAGCAUAAUCUGAUAGUGGGAUUGUUUAUUUUUUUUUGUGUAUAUUUUGGCCAUGGAACAUACAUCCCAAUGACAAAAGACAUUCAGCAGUUCUUUAAUAAUGGAUGUCUAUGAGUGCCAUACAUGGGCUUCUGGACAUCUGAAAGCUUACCUGUUUCUUCCUUUUUCUAGCUAUAAAAGUUGUUUGUGUACAUAAAGGACAUAAAACAACACAGUUAUCUUCCCUAUAGACAGACUGAUUUUGUAGAAAGGUAUCUAUGGCAUGUUCCAGGCUGUGUUAACCUUUUUGCGUCUAAAAGACAACUGAUCCUUCUCACCCUCCAGCAGGUUUGAUGCUCAAAAAGAGUUUGAUACUUUUAUGCUGUUGCAGUCAUGUGUGACAGUAGGACUUUCUAUUCUGAAGCUCCUUAAAAAGAGCAUAUUGCUAUAUUGCUUCUCACUUAUGAAUUCAUAGCACAGACAUAAUGGAUGAGACUGGAUAAAAUACUUGCCCAAAACGGGAGCAUUCUUGCAUAGCAACAAUGGGCUUGUGAAAGAGCUGAGCUGCCUUAAAGGUCCAUUCUCAUGAGAACAGCAAACUUCAGCCUUUGAGAAACAGUGUU